UGGCUUUCGCUGGAGAAGGCUGGGUACGGCGUGGGCGAGAAGGAGCUCCACCACGGGUAGUGCAGCAUGGUGUUCUGGAACAGACCAAGAGCACACGCCUGAACUCAAGU